rnacentral:rRNA from 1 species
GAUGAACGCUAGCGGCAGGCUUAACACAUGCAAGUCGAGGGGUAUAGGCUUUCGAGCCUAGAGACCGGCGCACGGGUGCGUAACGCGUAUGCAAUCUGCCUUGUACAAAGGGAUAGCCCAGAGAAAUUUGGAUUAAUACCUUAUAGUAUAUAGACCUGGCAUCAGGAUUAUAUUAAAGUCACAACGGUAAAAGAUGAGCA